rnacentral:rRNA from 1 species
CCUACGGGUGGCAGCAGUGGGGGAUAUUGCGCAAUGGGGGCAACCCUGACGCAGCAACGCCGCGUGGUUGAAGGAGGCCUUCGGCUUGUAAAGAUCUUUAGUCGGGGACGAAUUUUGACGGUACCCAAAGAAUAAGCUCCGGCUAACUACGGGCCAGCAGCCGCGGUAAUACGUGGGGAGCAAGCGUUAUCCGGAUUUACUGGGUGUAAAGGGCGUGUAGGCGGGAAUGCAAGCCAGAAGUGAAAUCUGGGGGCUUAACCCCCGAACGGCUUUUGGAACUGCGUGUCUGGAGUGAGGGAGAGGCAGGCGGAAUUCCCAGUGUAGCGGUGAAAUGCGUAGAUAUUGGGAGGAACACCAGUGGCGAAGGCGGCCUGCUGGACAUUAACUGACGCUGAGGCGCGAAGGCGUGGGGAGCAAACAGGAUUAGAUACCCGAGUAGUC